rnacentral:rRNA from 1 species
UACAGAGGUCUCAAGCGUUGUUCGGAUUCAUUGGGCGUAAAGAGCUCGUAGGCGGCUUGUCACGUCUGCUGUGAAAUCCCGGGGCUCAACCCCGGGCGUGCAGUGGAUACGGGCUGGCUAGAGGCAGGCAGGGGAGAACGGAAUUCCCGGUGUAGCGGUGAAAUGCGCAGAUAUCGGGAGGAACACCGGUGGCGAAGGCGGUUCUCUGGGCCUGUACUGACGCUGAGGAGCGAAAGCGUGGGGAGCGAACAGG